rnacentral:rRNA from 1 species
UGGAUGAGUUGCGAACGGGUGAGUAACGCGUAGGUAACCUGCCUUGUAGCGGGGGAUAACUAUUGGAAACGAUAGCUAAUACCGCAUAACAAUGGAUGACACAUGUCAUUUAUUUGAAAGGGGCAAUUGCUCCACUACAAGAUGGACCUGCGUUGUAUUAGCUAGUAGGUGAGGUAAUGGCUCACCUAGGCGACGAUACAUAGCCGACCUGAGAGGGUGAUCGGCCACACUGGGACUGAGACACGGCCCAGACUCCUACGGGAGGCAGCAGUAGGGAAUCUUCGGCAAUGGGGGCAACCCUGACCGAGCAACGCCGCGUGAGUGAAGAAGGUUUUCGGAUCGUAAAGCUCUGUUGUAAGUCAAGAACGAGUGUGAGAGUGGAAAGUUCACACUGUGACGGUAGCUUACCAGAAAGGGACGGCUAACUACGUGCCAGCAGCCGCGGUAAUACGUAGGUCCCGAGCGUUGUCCGGAUUUAUUGGGCGUAAAGCGAGCGCAGGCGGUUUGAUAAGUCUGAAGUUAAAGGCUGUGGCUCAACCAUAGUUCGCUUUGGAAACUGUCAAACUUGAGUGCAGAAGGGGAGAGUGGAAUUCCAUGUGUAGCGGUGAAAUGCGUAGAUAUAUGGAGGAACACCGGUGGCGAAAGCGGCUCUCUGGUCUGUAACUGACGCUGAGGCUCGAAAGCGUGGGGAGCGAACAGGAUUAGAUACCCUGGUAGUCCACGCCGUAAACGAUGAGUGCUAGGUGUUGGGUCCUUUCCGGGACUCAGUGCCGCAGCUAACGCAUUAAGCACUCCGCC